rnacentral:rRNA from 1 species
UACAUGGGGUGCAAACGUUGCUCGGAAUUAUUGGGCGUAAAGCGCGCGUAGGCGGUUACUUAAGUCGGAUGUGAAAGCCCUCGGCUUAACUGAGGAAGUGCACCCGAAACUGAGUAGCUAGAGUACGAAAGAGGGUCGCGGAAUUCCCGGUGUAGAGGUGAAAUUCGUAGAUAUCGGGAGGAACACCAGUGGCGAAGGCGACUUCCUGGCCUGUUCUUGACGCUGAGGCGCGAAAGCUAGGGUAGCAAACGGG